rnacentral:rRNA from 1 species
GAUGAACGCUGGCGGCGUGCCUAAUACAUGCAAGUCGAGCGAACAGACGAGGAGCUUGCUCCUCUGACGUUAGCGGCGGACGGGUGAGUAACACGCGGAUAACCUACCUAUAAGACUGGGAUAACUUCGGGAAACCGGAGCUAAUACCGGAUAAUAUAUUGAACCGCAUGGUUCAAUAGUGAAAGACGGUUUUGCUGUCACUUAUAGAUGGAUCCGCGCCGCAUUAGCUAGUUGGUAAGGUAACGGCUUACCAAGGCAACGAUGCGUAGCCGACCUGAGAGGGUGAUCGGCCACACUGGAACUGAGACACGGUCCAGACUCCUACGGGAGGCAGCAGUAGGGAAUCUUCCGCAAUGGGCGAAAGCCUGACGGAGCAACGCCGCGUGAGUGAUGAAGGUCUUCGGAUCGUAAAACUCUGUUAUUAGGGAAGAUCAAAUGUGUAAGUAACUAUGCACGUCUUGACGGUACCUAAUCAGAAAGCCACGGCUAACUACGUG